GCCCCUUUAGCUCAGUCGGCAGAGGGUCUCCAUGGGAAGGAGAAGGUCUACGGUUCGAUUCCGUAAAGGGGCU
rnacentral:tRNA from 1 species